rnacentral:tRNA from 1 species
GGGCCGGUGGUCUAACGGAAGGACGCCGCGUUCGCAACGCGGAGGUUCCGGGUUCGAAUCCCGGCCGGUCCA